GACAGAGGAUGCAAGCGUUAUCCGGAAUGAUUGGGCGUAAAGAGCGUGUAGGCGGCCAGGUAGGUCGGUUGUGAAAACUGGAGGCUCAACCUUCAGAGGUCGACCGAAACCAUCUGGCUAGAGUCCGGGAGAGGAGAGUGGAAUUCCUGGUGUAGCGGUGAAAUGCGCAGAUAUCAGGAGGAACACCGGUGGCGAAGGCGGGUCUCUGGGCAGAGUCUGACGCUGAGGCGCGAAAGCUAGGGGAGCAAACAGG
rnacentral:rRNA from 1 species